rfam:Gossypium hirsutum cultivar TM-1 unplaced genomic scaffold scaffold238.1, whole genome shotgun sequence
CACGUCAGAGCGCUUUGCUGAUAUGGCAACAAAUCGCCCCCUCGUGGACGCGAUUUGUUGCCACGUCAGCAAAGCGCGCUGACGUGG